rnacentral:rRNA from 1 species
UACGUAGGUGGCAAGCGUUGUCCGGAAUUAUUGGGCGUAAAGCGCGCGCAGGCGGUCCUUUAAGUCUGAUGUGAAAGCCCACGGCUCAACCGUGGAGGGUCAUUGGAAACUGGGGGACUUGAGUGCAGGAGAGAAGAGUGGAAUUCCACGUGUAGCGGUGAAAUGGCGUAGAGAUGUGGAGGAACACCAGUGGCGAAGGCGACUCUUUGGCCUGUAACUGACGCUGAGGCACGAAAGCGUGGGGAGCAAACAGG